rnacentral:lncRNA from 1 species
GGAUUACACAGUAAGUUUUAGUCUAGCCUGGCUGCAGUCAAAAACUUUUUUAAAACAGUAACAGCAAAUCCCAAACCAGAUGAAAACAAAAUCAUUUAUAUGAUUUGGUAUAUAUAGUUUCAUAAAACACAUUGGCUUUUUUUCUCCUUCAUUUAAGAAACAUUUUUUAGACAGGAUGUCUAAAAAACAUCACAGAGCUGGACAGUGGUGGCUGGCGCAUGCCUUUAAUCCCAGCACUUGGGAGGCAGAGGCAGGCAGAUUUCUGAGUUCGAGGCCAGCCUGGUCUACAGAGUGAGUUCCAGGACAGCCAGGGCUACACAGAGAAACCCUGUCUCGAAAAACAAAAAAACAAAAAGAAAACCACAGGUUUUCUUUGAACUUGUGAUCAUCCUGUUUGAGCCUCUUGAAUGCUCAGAUUAUAAUAGUAGACCCCUUUAAAAAUAUUCUAUAUCCUAUAUAUUAUAAUGAUAGGUUACUCAUGUAGCAUACAUAACAUCAAAGCUUGUAUAUGCACAUAUACAAUGUAAAAAAAAAAGUAGCAUGAUAAUAGUGAAAGGUUCAACUAUAUGUUAGAGUACCAAAUCACUGGGUAAGCAUUUUCUAAAAAUUUACACUAGCAAGCCCCAGAUUCAAGAGGUUGUGAUGGGAUUCAUAGAAACAGAAAACCUACACUAGGGCCAGCCAGAUUGCUGUGGCCAUGAAGGCCUGGUAAGCUGAUUCCUGGAACUCGGUAAAAUUGGAGAGCUCGAGUUCCCCUCUGACUUUAAUGCACAUGUGUUCCAUGGCACAUGUACCCACCCGUGCACUCCACCCCACCACACAAACACUGUUUUAAAAAGGAAAACUAUAGUUAGUCCUUAUUAGAGUUUUUUUUUUUUUUUUUUUUUGAGACAGGGUCUUACUGUGUAACCCCAGGUGAUAUGGAACUUGCUUUGUAAACUAGGGUUAAACUUUUCUACCCUUUGCUUCUGGAAUGUUGAGACUAGAGGCAUGGGCCAUGAUCUAAGAGUCAAAACUCUUUUUUCUUUUUUUUUUUUCUUUUUGGUUUUUUGAGACAGGGUUUCUCUGUAUAGCUCUGGCUGUCCUGGAACUCACUUUGUAGACCAGGCUGGCUUCGAACUCAGAAAUCCACCUGCUUCUGCCUCCCGAGUGCUGGGAUUAAAGGAGUGCGCCACCAAGCUCGGCGUCAAACUCUUUUAGUGAGGGGGAAAGAAAAAUUUGUAAUCUUUCCAGAAGAAAAUUGGUAUUACUUCCAAAGGAACAGCAGUAAUAGUUCUUCCCAGAUGACCACGGCUUGUGGCAAGUUUACUAAAUAAGC